rnacentral:rRNA from 1 species
GCCAGACUCCUACGGGAGGCAGCAGUGAGGAAUAUUGGUCAAUGGUCGGGAGGCUGAACCAGCCAAGCCGCGUGAGGGAGGAAGGUACAGAGUAUCGUAAACCUCUUUUGUCAGGGGACAAAGACUGGGACGCGUCCCCGGAUGAGUGUACCUGAAGAAAAAGCAUCGGCUAACUCCGUGCCAGCAGCCGCGGUAAUACGGAGGAUGCGAGCGUUGUCCGGAUUUAUUGGGUUUAAAGGGUGCGCAGGCGGUCUGUUAAGUCAGCGGUCAAAGCCCGGGGCUCAACCCCGCCCAGCCGUCGGAACUGCCGGGCUAGAGUGGGCGAGAAGUGCGCGGAAUGCGUGGUGUAGCGGUGAAAUGCAUAGAUAUCACGCAGAACUCCGAUUGCGAAGGCAGCGCACCGGCGCCCUACUGACGCUCAGGCACGAAGGCGUGGGUAUCGAACAGGAUUAGAUACCCUCGUAGCA